AUUGAACGCUGGCGGCAGGCUUAACACAUGCAAGUCGAACGAGUGGCGGACGGGUGAGUAAUGUAUGGGGACUGCCCGAUAGAGGGGGAUCACUACUGGAAACGGUAGCUAAUACCGCAUACUAUCGGAUAACCCAUAUGGGAUUAGCUAGUUGGUGAGGUAAUGGCUCACCAAGGCGACGAUCCCCAUCUGGUCUGAGAGGAUGAUCAGCCAACCUGGAACUGAGAAACGGCCCAGACUCCUACGGAGGCAGCAGUGGGGAAUAUUGCACAAUGGGCGCAAGCCUGAUGCAGCCAUGCCGCGUGUAUGAAGAAGGCCCUAGGGUUGUAAAGUACUUUCAGUCGGGAGGCGUUACCGACAGAAGAAGCACCGGCUAACUCCGUGCCAGCAGCCGCGGUAAUAC
rnacentral:rRNA from 1 species